rnacentral:lncRNA from 1 species
GAGCGCUUGCUGUGUGCCAGCGCGCAGCAUAAUUCGAAGCAGCAUGACUUUGCACAAUGACAUAUUCUACAAGUCCAGUUUCCUAAGGAGUGCCCUUAGGUUACAUAUAACCUAAACGUGAAAUGUAGAAGUACAUAAAGGAGGCAUAAAGUUAAAGGGGAAAAAUUAUAAAUACUAGAAAAAAUUGCAUUGUAUUAUUUUGAUGGCUGAAAAAUGGGCUCGACCCUGCAUGCACGCGUUCUCCAUUGAGCUCGACAAUAUGCAGUAUUU